CGGAGUCCCUCGAGAGAUGUCCCUGAUCUGCUAUUACUGGAAUUUGCAACUCUUGAAAAAAGCUGCCGGGGGCAUGACUCACCGAGUGGAUGUCCAAACCACUGCCUCCACAGCUCACCAUCCUGUCCCCCGAGUCUCCUCCCUCUUUCUGCAGCUGCAACCCGAGAGGCAUUGGUUCCCUCCAGGGAGGGGCCCCGGGACCUGGCGUCAGCAUCCUUGGUGGGCCAGCUGCCUCCACACACUGCAGGUAGCCAGAAUUUCCUGGAUUCCAGGGGGAAAGAAGUCUGUCUGGAAGAGAUCAGACGGUCUCAGCCUCCUCGUGGUAGGUCACAUUCCUAGAGGGAGAAGGUCAGCUGUCCAAGUGAUGCUCCAUGAAUGCUCUUAACUUACUGACCAAUUAACAGCCACAGCUGGGCACUGAAUCUGUGCUUGAAACAUGAACAUGGUGAUGACUGCAGUAAUAGUAACAGCUUGUUGGAUAUGCAACCUCUGUUUCCUCCUUUCCAGAAGCUCGACUCAACCCAGGGGACAGCGAGGUGGCUGCUGGGCAGGUCCAGGCACACUUGCCUGGCGACUCCACAGAGUGGGCCAUCUUCCCGUUGGCCCAGCUUGGCUUAUGUGACCAUCUCUGAGCUAAUCAUGGAAUCUGACUGGCCAGACUGUGGUCAGUGUCCGAAAGCAGGGCCCUCCAUCCAAGCACAUGGACUGAGAGAGAGCCUCUCUCUUGAUGGUUUCCCAAAAGAAAACUGGGAAGCCGUCGCCAGGAGAAGAGAGCCCGGAUUUCCAUUACAACCCGCAUGUGGAGUGUCUGACAUGAGCAACGGUCCCUCCUUUUGGAAAAUGUUGGGGCGUAAGCCAGAAUGGACCAGAGUCUUCCUCAAGAGGCAUACAAUUGCUUGGCUGUGAUAUCCGUAUAAAAGCUCAGCUCUUUCAUCCUUACUUGGGGAAAUCGUUUUAUUUUUAUUUAUUUAUUUAAGUAGGCUCCACACCCCAGCGUGGGGCUUGAACUCACAACCCUGAGGCCAAGAGUCGCGCGCUCCACGGACUCAGCCAGCCAGGUGCCCCUGGUGAAAUCAUUGUAAUUAUAUAAACCUCUCCAAGAAUUUUCCAGUAGAAAGUAAUUGAAAGGAAGGAGGACCGUAGGA
rnacentral:lncRNA from 1 species